rnacentral:lncRNA from 1 species
CUUAAUCAUGACAUGCAUGCAUUAAAAUUGAAUUAAAAAAUUGGGUUAAGAAGCCCAUAUGUUGGCUCAAUAAAAAUUAAUCAAAUAUUAAACUAACCUAGUCCAGAGCCCACACGAUUGACUAGAACUUGGCCUAAUUAAGCCCAUACCGGCUAAUUAGAGGUUGCCAGACAAUUAGUGAUUAGGGCACGUACAAUAGUUUAGACAACACCCGACUAUAAUGCCCUGACAUGUCGUCAAUAGACAGUCCUAAAGACAACGCCUACAUUAAAACUUAUUUGCUCGUCUAGAAAACACACGCUAAAAAACUGAUAAAUAUCUUGUUGGAUCUGGCCGUUAGUAGCAUGGAGAAGGAAGGAACGUCCAUGAUUCGGUUGUGGCCGCUGAACUUAGCUUGGUGAAAGGACUUGACCUGCUCGAUCAAUCGUGAAAGGAGCAAACCGUCAUUAUUCCAGGCGGCCUAGAUACAAUGGAAGAUGGGUCAGCUGUAUCCCCCGUUUUCUGGAAUUCUACAGACGACCUCUUCCUCUCUCUUGAUUCUUUCUCUUCCACAUCAUUCAAACUCUUAGUUGACAUCCCUUCUAGACAGCUGACUUUAUAUAAUUGUACAUGUCCUUAAGAAAUAGAAAAAGAACGAAACCAGAAACGCUCCCACGAUCGCAAACAUGAUCCCACAAUCUAGACGUGGACGCGCGCUUCCGGAAUGAGAGCCAGCUACUGCUCUCUCUUCCGCACCUAUAAAUACUAUGCCAUUUUAGCUGCCCAAGGGUCGGUCGCUCAAUCAUCCAGCCAUCUACAAGCACUCAAUCCAUCAGCUCAUUCAUCCAGCCAUCUACAAGCACUCAAUCCGUCACCUCAUUCAUCCAUCCAUCCAGCAAGCAGUCCGUCGUCGUCGUUGCCGCCCCAUCCGCUCAUCGUCGUCGUCGGCCGUUCCCUUGCCGCCGUCGUUGCCUGUCGUUCGUCUCGUCGUCGUCAUCGCCGCCGGCCGUUCGUCGUCGUCGCCGACCGGCUGCUCAUCUGCAUCUUGCUUCUCCACACGUACGGAAGAAGAUCCAAGGCAAGGUGAGAAUCCAUGGCUGCCUCCGUGCUCCCUUCAUGAUGUAUUCCUCGUGCACCACAUGUCUCAAGUAGUAUUGGUGUUCUCCGUUUCUCCAUAUAACACACCUUGUUUUGGUCUCAUGGGGUGCUCCCUUCUUGAUGUAUUCCUCAUGCACCACAUGUCUCAAGUAGUAUUGGUGUUCUCCGUUUCUGCAUAUAACACACCUUGUUUUGGUCUCAUGGGGUCUAGCAUCCUUUGUUGAUACAAACCAAGAUUAAAUUAAGUCACUCUUGUUUUGGUCUCAUGGCAAUAUUGCAUCCCAUAUUGAUACAAUUCAAGAUCAAGAUAUAUACAUCGAUGAUGCUUUAGUUUCACCGUACACAUUUCAUAUACGUUCACUGUUACCCAAUUAAUAUGCCCUUGAUUCGGUCCCAUGGUGAUCUUGACUUCAUGUUGAUACAAUUCAAGAACAAAAGUAUGUUCUUUCUUGUUUUGGUGUGGUGGUCUCACAUCCCAUGUUGAUACAAUUCAAGAAUUAAAAUAUGUCUGCCUUGUUUUGGUCUCAUGGGAUCGCAUCCCAUGUUGAUACAAUUCAAAAAAUAAAAUAUGUUCUUUCUUGUUUGGUCUCAUGGUGAUCUUGCAUCUCGAUGUUGAUACAACUCAAGAACAAAUGAUAUCCUUCUUGUUUUGGUCUCAUGGUGAUCUUGCAUCUCCAUGUUGAUACAACUCAGAACAAAUAAUAGCCAUCUCGUUUUGGUCUCAUGGUGAUCUUCCAUCUUCAUGUUGAUACAAAUCAAGAACAAAUCAUAUCCAUCUUGUUUGGUCUCAUGAUGAUCUCGCAUUUCAUGUUGAUACAUUUCAAGAGCAAACCAAAUCCUACUUGGUUCGGUCACAUGGUGAUUUUGAUUCCAUGUUGACGCAAAUCAUAGACAGAAAUAAAAAUAAAAGGUUUCAUAACUACCCAUGUUGAUAGAAAUUGAGACACAUUCCUUUCAUAUAAGAUACUAGACUCCAAAAUGCAUGAGUCAUUGUUCCAUCACGUGAUAUUAGUUAUGUUUGCAUGAAGCAAAAAUCAAAUAAAAUAAUAUUUGCAUACGGUCUGCCUAGUUAACAACCUUGAUCAGCAUAGAAUGUAAACUUUGGCCCUAUUUGAAUUCAUAGGCUAGAGUUAGUUUGAGCUAGUUGGGGCUCAAAUAGCACUAAAGUAUCCAAACAUGAGGGUUAGAUUGAAGCUAGUUGCAUCUAAUCCAUUCAAAAAAACUAAUCCACCUAAGAGGUGCUAAUUGGAGCUAGUUUUCAUGGGGCCCAUUAAAAAGUCAUUUUUCUCUCUCCAUCCACAAGAUAAUAGGUGUUAAUUGGAGCUAGUUUUCAUGAGAUCCACUAAAAAAUCACUUUCCUCUCUUCAUCAAGUACACCUAUUGUCAAUCUAACCCUAUCAUCCAAACCUCUUUAAAUUAGUUUAAGGUUAGUCAUGAGCUAGAAACUAACUCUAACCUCUAGCUAGAAAUUGGCUUCUGAACGCACAUGGCCAGCUCAUGAUGCCAGUCAAGACGCUUGUAGGUGGCAAUGAAGUUGCGAACGAACGCCUCCUCAAAGUCAACCCAAAAAUUGACAUUGUCAGCUGGAAACUGGU